rnacentral:rRNA from 1 species
UCGGGUUGUAAAGCACUUUUGUCUGGAAAGAAAUCCUUGGUUCUAAUACAGCCGGGGGAUGACGGUACCGGAAGAAUAAGCACCGGCUAACUACGUGCCAGCAGCGCGGUAAUCGUAGGGUGCGAGCGUUAAUCGGAAUUACUGGGCGUAAAGCGUGCGCAGGCGGUUUGCUAAGACCGAUGUGAAAUCCCCGGGCUCAACCUGGGAACUGCAUUGGUGACUGGCAGGCUAGAGUAUGGCAGAGGGGGGUAGAAUUCCACGUGUAGCAGUGAAAUGCGUAGAGAUGUGGAGGAAUACCGAUGGCGAAGGCAGCCCCCUGGGCCAAUACUGACGCUCAUGCACGAAAGCGUGGGGAGCAAACAGGAUUAGAUACCCUGGUAGUCCACGCCCUAAACGAUGUCAACUAGUUGUUGGGGAUUCAUUUCCUUAGUAACGUAGCUAACGCGUGAAGUUGACCGCCUGGGGAGUACGGUCGCAAGAUUAAAACUCAAAGGAAUUGACGGGGACCCGCACAAGCGGUGGAUGAUGUGGAUUAAUUCGAUGCAACGCGAAAAACCUUACCUACCCUUGACAUGGUCGGAAUCCUGCUG